CGCGCUGGGCUGCUUUUCGACGUGUGAAAAUGAACAAGGUUUUGAAAAUAGAUUAACCCUGUGAAGUUCGUUAUUUACCAAAGACAUAUUUCAGCUCCAUAGCUGUCAUUUUGGGAGAAAAAAAAAAAUGAUGAAAGCCACACAUCGUGAUGCAUGCCUGUAGUCCCAGCUACUUGGGAGGCUGAGGCAGGAGGAUCCCAGAAUUGAGCCCAGCCUCAUAACUUAACAGGUCCCUGUCUCAAAAUAAAAUUUCAAAAAAUGAUCUGGGGAUGUAGCUCAGUGAUAGAAUGCAUACCUAGCAUGCCUGAAGCCCUGAGUUCAGUCCCCACUACUGCAAAAGUAAAAUAAAUUAACAAGAUUAAGGCCAAGGAAACUUUUGAAAAUUGUUCUCUAUCUUGACUGCACUGGUGAUUACAGACUACACAGUUGCCAAAGUUCAUUUACCUGUACACUUCAAACAGAUUUUACCAUGUGGAAGUUCUCCUCGGUAAAGCUGGAAAAUAAAGGAGCUGGUGAUUCCUGCAAGGCCCUGGGAGGGUCUACAGCUGCCUACCUCUGGAGGCCAGAGCCAGCCUCAGCCAACAAGUAGGUUUGUCCCAGAGGAGCACAGGGCAGGGCUAACUCAAGUGGCCUAGAGCUUGAGAAAAGUCAACAGCAUGGGCACCAGAGAGCUGAAAGCGGCGUCCUCAAAGCCAGCCCGUGUUAACCCUGUGUUAGCAUCUGUGUCUUCUGGGAAUCGUUUGACGUACGCUGUUUCACUUUAACCAGCACAUAAACUCUGCUAAGCCAGCCGUGCUCACAGCCUCUGUUUUCCCUAGACAACCUGGUGAUAGCCUGGUGCCAGUUACCAGUUACUGCCUCUUAGCUCCAGAUUUGCUGUCAAGAUCCAGAGGGAGGUUUCCCAGGCGCUCUGCACAUUCAGACCACAGGGACUUCACCGUCUCACCUGCUCAGUGAUGUCUGCAUCUUGUGUGGGGCAGAAAGAAACUCUUUGGCCUAUCUCAGAACCCAAGAAAGUAAAAAACAAAAACUAAGGAACGUGGGGCUGGGGAUGUGGCUCAAGUGGUAGCGCGCUCGCCUGACGUGUGCGGCCCGGGUUCGAUCCUCAGCACCACAUACAAACAAAGAUGUUGUGUCUGCCGAAAAACUAAAAAAAAAAAAAAUAUAUUAAAAUAUAAAAAAAAAAAACCUAAGGAACGUAACAAAGAACAGCCAGUGCUCCUGCCCCU